CGUAAAGCCCGUAUCCCAUAAAGUAAUGGCGUGGACUUGGUAUUUUUUUGACCCAUCAUUUUGAUGGAUCAGCCCUACCUGACCUGUCAAACUCAAAGCCUCAAAGCCUGUGUAGACUAACCUGAAUGGGUUAAGCCGACCCGUAUUGACAGCUUUAUGCAGGACAGUAAACAAGACAGUAGAAAUCUAAUGCAUUUUCUGUAUGAUCAUCGUCAAUAAACAUGCUCCUUUGUACAUUGUUAGAGCUGUUGGUCUUGCCAAUAUAGUUUGACAUCUUUUGAUGGUUGAUAUUUCUUUUCGAUAAAACAGUUCUUUUGUAGAAGAUGAUGUAAUUGCCAUGUUUCUCCUUCAAAAAUGUUGUUUUCAUGGUUUGAGAAAUGAAGUCAUG
rnacentral:lncRNA from 1 species